rnacentral:tRNA from 1 species
UCAGGUGUAGCUCAGUGGUAGAGCACUUGCUUAGCCUGCACAAGGCACUGGGUUUAAUCCCCAGCACUGGCA